rnacentral:rRNA from 1 species
AUUUUUACAAUGAAGAGUUUGAUCCUGGCUCAGGAUGAACGCUAGCUACAGGCUUAACACAUGCAAGUCGAGGGGCAGCAUGGUCUUAGCUUGCUAAGACUGAUGGCGACCGGCGCACGGGUGAGUAACACGUAUCCAACCUGCCUUAUACUCCCGGACAGCCUUCUGAAAGGAAGAUUAAUACGGGAUGGUAUCACGAGCCAGCAUUUUCUCGUGAUUAAAGAA